AAGGUCCAUUAGUUGUGAAUGGAAUGGUUAAAGGUCUCCUGUUUUGCAACAUUGCACAUAUUCAGGAAAUUGAACAACAUUUGAGAAAUGUCUGUGUAGCUGGUUGCGACGGUACAUUUAAAACUGUACCAAAAUGCUUAGAUAAUGAAACUUAUCAGAUAUUUUUUUUUCAUAUCCUGUUUAAAAAGUUAGCUUCCCACUAGUUCAUACUAUCCUCACGGGCAAAACACAGGAUAUCUACAUAAAACUCCUGAAACAUGUCAGAAGUUUUUUACCCUUGAACCAUGCACAAUUAUCAUAAUAACUGAUUAUAAAUAUGGUCUAAUUCAUGCCGUAAAAAUAGUAUUUCCGGAAAGUAAAACCCCAGGAUGUUAUUUUCAUUUUUGCAUUAAUAAUAUUUUUAGGCAGUCAUACUAUACACUAGAAUCAAAAAAUCUCAAAGUUUUAGUUUAAUAAAAACAAAUUUCAAUGCUGCAUCUGCAUGCAAGGCUGG